rnacentral:rRNA from 1 species
UACGUAGGGUGCGAGCGUUAAUCGGAAUUACUGGGCGUAAAGCGUGCGCAGGCGGUUCGUUAAGUCAGAUGUGAAAGCCCCGGGCUCAACCUGGGAACUGCAUUUGAAACUGGCGGGCUUGAGUGUGGCAGAGGGGGGUGGAAUUCCGCGUGUAGCAGUGAAAUGCGUAGAGAUGUGGAGGAACACCAGUGGCGAAGGCGACUCUUUGGCCUGUAACUGACGCUGAGGCGCGAAAGCGUGGGGAGCAAACAGG